GCCUCUCUAAUUUGCCCAGUAGCAUGCCCCUCUUCAGAGCCAUCAGAGACUGGCUCUGUUGGACAUGGUGGAAGCUUCUAGUGGCCUUCUGCAGGAGCUGCCCCCAUGGCCCUCCCCCACUACCAAAAACCAAGCUGUGUCAAAUCCAACACACACAGCUGCCUUUUUCCAGCUCUGUCUUGUUCCUUCUUUACUUCCUGAGAGACUCCUAAAUAAAUCCUCAACAAAGUGAUUAGAGCCCUAUGUUCAAUCCAAAGCUUAGCAGGUCUUGAGGGCUGAGGGCCCGGGCUGGAGAGUCAUGAGCCGUCAUAAACUGAAAUGAGGAGUCAUCAGCAUCUCAGCAGAAAAUGCCUUCAGUAUCCAAAGCAGCUUCCAAAGGGGUGAGCUUUCGCUGAGCUCCUUCCUUUCCGUUGUGGAAACAGCCAGAAAAAUUGUUGAGUACAUUCAGGAUUCCUAGAAAAAGCAGUUAAAAGCUGUACAGACUGGGAGCAAUAGAGUCCUUGCGAGAGGGCACACCAGGUCAAACACUGGGAAAUAAUGACCAUGAGGAAGAGAUGUGCAGCUGGAGAUCAGGGGAGGCAGUAGUGUGUGUAGAUUAAUUAGUGUGUGUGUAGGUCAAUUUUACAAUCCAUACUUUAAUCUAUGUACACAUCAAUUAGAAGAAAUACUUUUAAAGAAGAAGAAAUUGAAUACAUUUCUGAAAUAGAGUUUUCUAUGUGUUUCCUGUGGUGUUUGAUGCAAGGCAGCACUAGAGCUCUGUGUCCCAAAGCCACAUUGUGGAGCCUGACCAGUGUGUCUGGAUUCUUGAAGCCACCUCAGACACUUCAGCUUCCCGUUCUCCAGCUGGCAGUGCUGGUUGUGUAGCAUCGACGGCCUCUAGCUCAGAACAGAAUGCACCUGGGGAAGAGGAAUCACCACCAGUGGACCUAAGCCUUCCUGUUGAGAAAAUUAUUUGGGAGAGCAGGAGAUCCCUGUCUGAAAAGUCUCCAUCUGCUGAGGGGAAUAUUAAUGUUGCCCCUGAGUCUUCAGGAGGGGAGCCUGUGGACAGAGCUGCAGCAGAGGAAAUUUCAUCUGGAACCGAGAGCUGCAGGAACAGUUCCCCAGAGCCCGAAGAGCUUGAUUUCCACCUGAUCUACCUCGCCAGCAGGGCUGCCCUGCAUGAGAAGGAUCAGAGGGAGUGACCAUCAGGCAGGUGGAAUCCCUGUGUUUAUUAAUACGUUUAGAGAUGUCUGUAGUUCUAUUUAUAUAGCCAUAUAGUUAUUAAUGUCUUUGUAGCUGUAUUUUAAAAUCUGUACCGUUAAAUGUAUAUAUAUAGUUAUAGGCAUGAUAUUUUAUAUAUGUGCACAUUUACAGAUGUGCAUAAUUAUAUAGUAAGAUGAAUAUGGAUAUUUAGAUGCAUAGAUUGCUGCUUGUGUAGACUUAGGCUGCAUUUUGACCUCUUUCCCCCUCA